UAUUUUUUUUUCCCUGUGCCCUAUUCUUCUUACCGUCGCCGAAUCCUUCCUCCCUCACCCUCUCGCGACGUUGCCCGAUCCCUUCAUUUCUUCCGAGCCGCAUGCCGCCGCCAACACCUCUCCUCUUGCCACCGCCGGCCAAGCUUCUUCCUCCCUCGGAGUGAUCUUUGGCCAAGGAGAUGAUCUGUGCCCUAGCCUCCACCCUUCUUCUCUUCUCCCCGAUAUCGACGCCACAAGGGAGCUUAUCGCCGGCGGCUAAGCAUCCCGUCUCCUCCAUCGAUUUCCCCUGUUCGCCUGUUGUCUUCUUCCCGAGUUGUUGCCUCGUGCGGGCAGAUCUUCGAGCAAAGGAAAGGGGGGAAACGAAGCCCUAGCUCCGGUUCCUUGUCGCAAGUCAUAGCGUCGAUCCACAUUUCGCAAUAGGGAAGCAGUUGCCGCCACCUUCUUGACCUAGCUCCAGUAGUCGCAGCCACUAGAUUUUUUUCUCUGGCCACUGUUUUCCGACAGCAAAUCUCCAGCUGUGAUUCAACAGAGAGGGCAAAGGGAAAAUUUUGUUUGGGAGAUCAGCCACCUCACCUUGCACCAGCUACCAGUCCUCGACAGCCAACGUCUUGACUUUGGAUCAACAGUGAUACAUCCAAAUUUAGGACUUUGAUUCGAGACGAACGUCUCAACAUAGGAUUUCUGGUCAUGAUCUUCUUUUGAAGCGGGUUACAUUUUGUAUCUGGUCUGACGACCCUUAUUUCCGGAUAGGAGGCUCUGGUGAGUACAGUUUUUUUCAGCUCUUUUUAGUCUGCAUUUCCUACUUUUGUUCAGGAACUGUACCGCAUGAUUAUUACUGUUAGUUAUAACUUAUUAUACAUAUCUAUCUGGUAUCCACUAAGUUGUUGAACUUACACCGUUGAUUUAUUUUCCUAUUUGAGGUUGAGGCCGUCAGGAGGUUCCAGUUGCUAGUCCCCUCGUCAUAAGAGUUUUCAUAUUGGUCUUUUGGUUUCUAGUUAUUUUCUUAGAGCUAUGUUUCAGACUUGUAUUGGUUUUACACUCUGGAUUUUGUGCGGGUUGCCUUUAAGUAUUGUACUGGUUGGGUUUUUGCUUUCUUGGUGGAUUUGUAUUUGUUAUGUUUUGCUACGCGCCUGCCGAUCGACAGAAGAGGUAAGUUUAGAUGUUGUUUUCGGUUUCUUUUGUAUUGUGGUGACAGCCGGAGGCUGAUAUAUUAUAAUUGCGUGGAUUGGUAUGUUUUUAUGUGAUAUAUAUACCAGCCGUGUUGGCUGAUGAGUUUGAGCCUGAGGGCUAUAUAUAUAAGUCUCAGAUUAUCACCCGUAUAGGGGAGAUGUUGUCGAAAUUUCUUCUGGUAGGGACUACCUGGACAUGACAAUUUAUUUGGUAUCAGAGCGGGUUGCGAUGCCUGUCUUUUUCAUGUUAUGGAGUUCGAGUUAAUCUGAUACCAAUUUAUUUGGUAUCAGAGCAAGUUUACGAUGCCUGUCUUUUUCGUAUUCUGGAUUUUUGAGUUAAUCUGAUACCAAUUUAUUUGGUAUCAGAGCAAGUUUACGAUGCCUGUCUUUUUCGUAUUCUGGAUUUUUAAGUUAAUCUGAUACCAAUUUAUUUGGUAUCAGAGCCCAGUUUUGCGAGUCAAUCUAGGGAUUUUCGAAUUUAUAUGGAUUUCCGUCGAUUUUAUGUUUCAGAAUUCCGUUUUUGGAUCUAUAUGGAUUUCCAUUAUUUUCAUGUUUCGGAAUUUCGUUUCGGAUUUGUAUGAAUUUUUGUUAUUUUUCUCAUUUCGGAAUUCCGAGGUAUUAUUUGACCUCGUCAAGAAAAGGUCAUAAUUUGGGGACUUGGCAGCGACGAGGCAUCUUCAGAUGACAAAUAGGUAAAAUGAUCACUUUUAUAAUUAUGGUACUGUAUUAAUACCUGGGUAAUAAUUUAACAGAUAUGAAGUGUAAUACAUGUGUUCCCGCUUCGAGACGUGGUGUAACAUUUUGAAAAUCGACAGAUCUGUUAAUGAAGUCAUCUGCCAUGGGUGCAAUCUUCUUCUGACAAUUGUAUCACUUAAUCAUUUGAUUUCCAUAUGUAGCUUUGUUAACUUCUUCAUGAGAAUCUUAUAGAACAUCUAUCAUUUAUGUUCUAUAGUUCAAGAAAUUCUUGAAAUAUUUGAUGUCGGACUAACUUAUAAUUUAUUAAUAUCCACAAGCUAGAUUCUAGAAUGUAGCGCUUCCUUCAAUGAUGAUGCAAUGGCAAGAUGAUUUGCAUGCUGAAAUAUGCACGGAUAUUUGUUUGCAUUGUUGUCUCUCAAUGAUGAUCUUUCCUAUUUUCUUAUUUAUUUUCGUCGCUUGGUGUUUAAAGUAAUACUUUCAGUAGUUAAAAUAUAAUUGUCAGGAAAUACAAGACAAAAAGGCUUUAAAGCCAAAAUAAGAUGCCCUUGGUGGUUUGAUCUGUCCUGUAGUAAAACCACCAACAUAACAUACCAAAGUCCAAACACACUGCAAAAACAGAAAAGAUACAGAAACACACAAGGACUUAUAUAGAAACCACAAGAUGGGAGAGAAAACCACUAGCGAGGAUGAAGAUAAAGAUCAAUGAUGCAGAUGUACAGAAGUUACAUUAUGAGCACACAAUGCAGAACACAAAAGCCUAACUGUUACCUUAUAGAUCAUAUUGAUAUCUGGAUGUACCACUCUACUUUUUGUUCCAUUCCGGCUAGAUGCUGCAGAAAACAAAAUUGCACUACCUCAAAUUAUAAAGGGCAAUUGUGUUCAAACAUCACGAGUUGAACAGAGGCACUGUAUAUUUUGUUGGCAUAAAAUCCAUGUUGAUACUUUGAUCUCAUCGAUCUUAGGGUUCUCAAGUAUCCAACUGUAUCUGUUCAAUCCAGAUUUGACAUGCUAGAUCCAUAUUGUUGGUUCCUGGCAGGUAUGCUCCUAAAUCCUUUUAUCCAUAGCUUGGCAUAAAUUUUGGCUCAGCAUUUCUAAAGGUUGAUCAUUGUGGCAUUUAAAUAUAUAAUCGUAGGGCAGAUUUGAAUCACACUUAACAAUAGUCCUCUUUUAGAUGAGUAAUUUGAUGAAUGCCACACCUGUUAGCUGAGACUAGGAAUGUUGGAUUGUGUCAAGCAUUUGACUUGGAAAUUCUCUGAGCUCAGUUGUUUGAUCUUUGUUACUAAGGGUGGUUCUUAUUGACUCCUAAAUUUGAUGCAAGUAACAUUGAUGUUUAGAUAGAGAUUACAUUCUUGCAAGAUGAGUUGAUUGGAGAAUGUGUAAUUCAGUAAUGUUUGUUCGCUUGAUCAUAAAUUUUUAUUUCUCAAGCAGCUUUACUAGGUCCUAAAGAGAAAGGCCUUUUUUUUUUUUGGUGCAUGAAGUGGUGUAUAUAUUUGUUUACCACAUACAAUUUGAACCACACAUGAUUCUCAGUUGUCAUUCUACAGGAGGCUCGAGGAUAGUAACAUUGUCAAUGUUGACGUAACUGUAUAUUAUAAAGAUGUCCAUGGUGAUCUAAGUGAGACUUUCUUUGUUGGAGAAGUGGAUGAAGCUUCUCGGCAUCUUGUCCAUUGCACCUAUGAAUGUUUGGAGACAGCCAUUUUUAUAGUUAAACCUGGCAUUCGAUUCCGUGAUGUUGAAGAUAUUAAUCGUCAUGCAACAAUGUCUGGGCUAGCAGUGGUGAAAUCAUAUUGUGGACAUGGUAUCAGAGAGUUGUUUCACUGUGCUCUGAGUAUUCCUCAUUAUGGGAGUAUCCUAGCUAACUAAUUUAAAUGAAUGCUCUAUUCUACUAUAUUUGGUUUUUUGUUUCCAAUCUUUAUAUUUUUAGAUGAAAAAAAAUUCCCAUCUAUGAAUGGGGCACAUGAACUUGGUUAUGCUACUUAUAUCCAAUGAUAGUUGAUGACAUACUAGAUAUCUAGAUCUGAGUUAAAAACUCUGUUGUACUUUUUUAUCAUGUUGAUGUGCAUGCAAUUGUUGCCUCGACACCUGAAAUAGGAAACAAAGCUGUUGGUAUCAUGAAAGCUGGGCAGACGUUUAUAAUUGAACCUAUGAUCAAUGCACGUCAUUUUUUUUAUUUGAUUAGUAUUUCUGUGUUUAUAGUCACCAUUUAUUUAUAUUGUUCAAGUGUUUUUAUCUUGAGGAAUCUGGCGUGAUCGGUUAUGGCCAGAUGGAUGGACUGCAGUUUCUGGAGAUGGUAAACGAAGUGCUCAACUUGAGCACACUCUUUUGAAAUUUCAAAAUUGCAGCUGAUUCUGCAGUCUGUUCUUCAGUCUCAAUAUUUCAGAAUUCUGAAUUGGGAGAUAUUUGGGCUUGCAUCGGAAGGAGUUGGAACUAGGAAAUGCAGAAUCUGUUUGGGCUGAAGAUGCUGGAAAAUUCCGAAGCUGGUUUGCAGUAGAAUCUAACUUAUUUUGAACAAAAUCUGGAGGUUGCACAACAUUUGUUGAAGCUGGAAUUGAACCUGAUGAAACCAGAUUUGAUCCACCUGGAGCAUUCCGCACUAAUUCUGAAGUUGUCUUACCACUUCGAAGAGUCAAUGCACUAACAUUUCCCUUAGGAUUUGGAGUUGUUUGUGAAGGCAAUUGACUUGAUCCUUGGGCUUGCAUCUGAUUUAUGUUGCUUGCUAAUUGGCCAAUUUGUCUCUCAAUGUUUUGCAAAGCAGAAUCAGUCCUCUGUUGAUGUUGCUGCUGCUGUAAAACUAAUUGCUGCUGUUGCAAAAUCUGCUGCAUAAUAUCCUCCAUCUUCUGCUGCUGCUGCUGCUGUGUACUUGCUGCAUUUGAGUUGUUAUUACCACUUUGAUUUGAAUAAGACCUUGGUUGAGAAGAAAAAGAAGAAUUUGGUUGCUGCCAAUUCUGCAUAGAUUGCUGGAAAUUCUGUGUUGGCUGGAAAUUCUGUGCAGGUUGCUGGAAAUUUUGAAUUUGUUGCUGAAAAUUUGGUUGCUGAUUUUGUGGAUGGAAAGAGGCAUAUGAUUGCUGUUGGAACUGAUUAGGAUGCUGAAAUUGCUGAUUUUGAUGUUGGAAUUGGUUUGGAACAGCAAGUGGCUGAAAUUGCUGAUAUUGUAACUGAUUUGGAGUGUUGGAUUGCUGAAACCCUUGUAAAGGUUGCUGAAAAUUCUGCACAUUCUGGUUUUGAGGUGGUUGUUGGUAGAAGGAAUUCCCGUACUUCAAAUUUGGAUGAUCCUUCCAACCCGGAUUGUAGGUGGAAGAAUUUGGAUCAUAUCUUUGCGGAAAUUGUGGUCUUGAUAUAGCCUCCAUUGAUUCAUCUUGAUGGAGAUUUGGACAUAAUUCCGAAGUGUGCUCUUGACUCGAACAAAUGCCACAAACUCUCAUCGUUUGAACUGGAAAAGAUGAAACUUGGCUUGCACUAUUCAACGCCAUUUGAUACCGUUUGACUAAAGAUGUCAACUCCAACAAUGAACUCUUGAUCUCCUUUUGCUCAUUUGAUACCGUUUGAACUUCACCAACUCCUCUAGUAGUAGUUGUCAACAGAAGCUUUAGGGCAAUGAGGUGGAUUUCCAGCAGCCCACCUUAUUUAUGGUUGUGAGUUUGAGGACUUUGACACGAGACGAGCAUCUCGAUGUCGGAUUGGACUGGAUACGAUACUCUUAUCGGAGGAGGGUACCUCUUGACUUAUCUUUUAUGAUAUUGUCAAUUGGAUAUGCAUAGUAUUUUAUAGCUACGAGCAAUGAUCAUGUUUGCCUUUGGUAUGUCACAGUUUGUUACCCCUAGCGUGUUCU